rnacentral:rRNA from 1 species
GACGAACGCUGGCGGCGUGCCUAAUACAUGCAAGUCGAACGAGUGGCGGAAGGGUGAGUAAUGUCUGGGAAACUGCCUGAUGGAGGGGGAUAACUACUGGAAACGGUAGCUAAUACCGCAUACAAUCAGAUGGGCCCAGAUGGGAUUAGCUAGUUGGUGGGGAAACGGCUCACCAAGGCGACGAUCCCUAGCUGGUAUGAGAGGAUGACCAGCCACACUGGAACUGAGACACGGUCCAGACUCCUACGGGAGGCAGCAGUGGGGAAUAUGGGACAAUGGGCGCAAGCCUGAUGCAGCCAUGCCGCGUGUAUGAAGAAGGCCUUCGGGUUGUAAAGUACUUUCAGCGGGGAGGCGUUACCCGCAGAAGAAGCACCGGCUAACUCCGUGCCAGCAGCCGCGGUAAUUC